rnacentral:lncRNA from 1 species
UUUAAGGCUACCCAAUUCCUUGUGCCUUGUUUCUGGCUGAUGAAUGGUUAAUAUUUAUCUGGUAUAACAUUCUCAUCACACUUGAACUUGCCUGCUCAUUGUAUAUGGGCACUUAUUACUUCCCAUGAGUUUAGGGUCUGUAAAUUCCAGAUGUGCCUAUACAUUCUGCACAUGUGUUUUCUAAAGUGCAACUAUUUUCGCAGUCAAUUAUUUGACCCAUCUCAUUGCAUGUUGUUCUAGGUCCAACGACUCAACUUGUAUAACUUUCUUCUUUUUAUUUGUUCUUUUUUUUUUUGGCUUUUCUUCAAGUUGGGUCCACCACCCCCCCAUUAUAGUUCCACACGAUAUGUCGUUCGCUUUGUUCUAAAAGGGUUAUUUACAG